UCCUUGGGCGUCGACCCGGCGCACGGGUGAGUAACGCGUAUCCAACCCUGCCUCUGACUGAGGGAUAACCCGUCGAAAGUCGGCCUAAUACCUCAUGGCAUCGUCUGCGGGCAUCCAACGACGAUUAAAGAUUUCAUCGGUCAGGGAUGGGGAUGCGUCUGAUUAGCUUGUUGGCGGGGUAACGGCCCACCAAGGCGACGAUCAGUAGGGGUUCUGAGAGGAAGGUCCCCCACAUUGGAACUGAGACACGGUCCAAACUCCUACGGGAGGCAGCAGUGAGGAAUAUUGGUCAAUGGGCGAGAGCCUGAACCAGCCAAGUAGCGUGCAGGAUGACGGCCCUAUGGGUUGUAAACUGCUUUUAUGCGGGGAUAAAGUGAGGGACGUUC
rnacentral:rRNA from 1 species